UGAGGAAUAUUGCGCAAUGGGGGAAACCCUGACGCAGCGACGCCGCGUGGGUGAGGAAGGCUUUCGGGUCGUAAAGCCCUGUCAGAAGGGAAGAAAUGUGUAGUGGUUAAUACCCAUUACACUUGACGGUACCUUCAAAGGAAGCACCGGCUAACUCCGUGCCAGCAGCCGCGGUAAUACGGAGGGUGCAAGCGUUGUUCGGAAUCACUGGGCGUAAAGGGCGCGCAGGCGGUUUGAUUAGUCAGAUGUGAAAGCCCACGGCUUAACCGUGGAAGUGCAUUUGAAACUGUCAGACUUGAGUACCAGAGGGGGUAGUGGAAUUCCCGGUGUAGAGGUGAAAUUCGUAGAUAUCGGGAGGAAUACCGGUGGCGAAGGCGACUACCUGGCUGGAUACUGACGCUGAGGCGCGAAAGCGUGGGGAGCAAACA
rnacentral:rRNA from 1 species